rnacentral:ncRNA from 1 species
GGGGGGAGUAUGGUCGCAAGGCUGAAACUUAAAGGAAUUGACGGAAGGGCACCACCAGGCGUGGAGCCUGCGGCUUAAUUUGACUCAACACGGGGAAACUUACCAGGUCCAGACAUAGCAAGGAUUGACAGACUAAGAGCUCUUUCUUGAUUCUAUGGGUGGUGGUGCAUGGGGCCGGUUCUCUUUAGGUUGGGGUGGGAGGCGAUUUGGUCUG